rnacentral:misc_RNA from 1 species
GAACGCACAUUGCGCCCCUUGGUAUUCCGAGGGGCAUGCCCGUUCGAGCGUCAUUAUAACCCCUCAAGCCCAGCUUGGUGUUGGUGCCGGCGUGGCUUUAGGCCUCGUCCCGCCCAAAGAUAAUGACGGCGUCUGUGAGGACCCCUGUACACUGAGCUCUCGGGCACGUACACGGUUGGGAGUCCAGGCGCCGGUCGACGUCCGCAAGGACACUUUUUCUAAGGUUGACCUCGGAUCAGGUAGGGAUACCCGCUGAACUUA